CUGGGGAUUCACACCCCGUGUAGCCCCUUUCCACACGGAAUCUGGGCUGGCCUGUGUGAUGAAUAGAAUACGAUGGAAGUGAAAGUGGUGACCUCCAAGGCGAAGUCAAAAAGGCAUUGCAGCUUCUGACAUGGCCCUUGGGUCAGCUGCUCUGCAGGAAGCCAGCUGCCAUCCCAUGAGGAUGCUCAAGUAGCCCUGUGGAGGGGCCCCAGGGACACCAGGCACGGAUCAACAGCCAGCACCAAUCUGCCAGCCAUGAGUGAGCCACCUUGGGAGGGGAACCUCCAGUCCCAGUCCAGCCUUCAGAUGACUGCAACCUCAACUGACAUCCAACUACAACUUAAUGAGUGACUUUGAACCAGAACUGCCCAGCCAAGCUGUCCCUGAAUUCCUGACCUACAGAAAUCAUGAGAGAUCAUCAGUGGUUAUUGUAGAUGGGGUCCUGCUGUGUCACCGAGGCUUGAGAGCAGUGGUGUGACUAUAGCUCACUGUAACCUCAAACUUCUGGGUUCAAGCGAUCCUCCUGCCUUAGCCUC
rnacentral:lncRNA from 1 species